GGUUAAAAUUUCAUCCAUUUUCACUUUUAAAAACUGGUGUAGUUGACAGAAUAACCAAAUAGUUGUGCCUUAUAUUGACAUACAAUGAUCGAUUUUUAAUAGUAGAAUGGAUGGAAUCUUUAACA
rfam:Gossypium raimondii Chr03_contig_24, whole genome shotgun sequence.